rnacentral:ncRNA from 1 species
AUAAUGAUACUCACACUUUUAACUAAGUGUCCUGUCGAAUUGGCGAGGGGAGGUGAGAUUCCUGUGU